AUACUUUUCCAAUUUGUAAGCAUGAUGAUUGAGUGUUCACACUUUUGUGUGAUAUAUGCCUCCAUAAACCUAGGAUCAUCAACAUAUUACCUGUAUGAGU